GAAAAAUGGUUGCUUGUGUGGCUUUUGUGUUAAAUAAAUUUGUGUGAAAUACUCAUAAAGAAAUUCAAUUCUCCUCGAAGGCACUCCCAUUGAAAUACAACUACGUACAGCUUUCCUAUUUGAAAGCGAAAUAUCAUCGCGGAAUACUAAUGAAAUAUAAAUUUUUCCGUGCGAAUACAUCAGUUGAGUUCGUUGUGUUAAGAUGAAAACUUUAACAUACACGAUUUGUUGAAAAGCAAGAAAAAUCUUGAGUUCGUUCUACGUAACACAGGAGUGAAUAAUAUGUGGUGCAAAAUAUUGACUAAUAAACUGUGGCGCCAUCAUAAUCGGUUCAAAAUGAUGCUCCAAUGGAAGAGAUUAAUUUUAUUACCGAUUUUAGUAAUACUUUUAAGUAAUUUAAGUAUAAAAAAUAUAUUAGUAAGUGCGAGUCAAUCGGGUAUCUACAUCGACAAUGGACUCGAUCAAACAGUGAUGCAACGUACUUUGAAUGAGGAUGACAAAAUUCAUGUUUCAUAUGAAAUAUUAGAAUUUUUAGGUUUAGCUGAAAGACCCCGACGGAAGCAUUCACAUCUGUCAUUAAG